rnacentral:rRNA from 1 species
UGGUGGAGUGAUUUGUCUGGUUAAUUGCGAUAACGAACGAGACCUUAACCUGCUAAAUAGCCCGCAUUGCUCCGGCAGUGCGCUGGCUUCUUAGAGGGACUUUCGACUCAAGCCGAAGGAAGUUUGAGGCAAUAACA